UACGUAGGGCGCGAGCGUUGUCCGGAAUCAUUGGGCGUAAAGAGCUCGUAGGCGGCCGGUUGCGUCUGCUGUGAAAUCCCGGGGCUUAACCCCGGGCGUGCAGUGGAUACGGGCUGGCUGGAGGCAGGCAGGGGAGAAUGGAAUUCCCGGUGUAGCGGUGAAAUGCGCAGAUAUCGGGAGGAACACCGGUGGCGAAGGCGGCUCUCUGGACCGACACUGACGCUGAGGCGCGAAAGCGUGGGGAGCAAACAGG
rnacentral:rRNA from 1 species